rfam:Ciona savignyi cont_17435, whole genome shotgun sequence.
GCUUAUCAACAUUCCAGAUUGAAUAUACCCGAUCUCGUCUGAUCUCGGAAGUCAAGCAAUCUCUGGCUUGGUUAGUACUUGGAUGGGUGACCGCUUGGGAAUACCAAGUGUGAUAAGCA